AUUGAACGCUGGCGGCAGGCCUAACACAUGCAAGUCGAACGGUAGCACAGAGAGCUUGCUCCCGGGUGACGAGUGGCGGACGGGUGAGUAAUGUCUGGGAAACUGCCCGAUGGAGGGGGAUAACUACUGGAAACGGUAGCUAAUACCGCAUAACGUCGCAAGACCAAAGUGGGGGACCUUCGGGCCUCACACCAUCGGAUGUGCCCAGAUGGGAUUAGCUAGUAGGUGGGGUAAUGGCUCACCUAGGCGACGAUCCCUAGCUGGUCUGAGAGGAUGACCAGCCACACUGGAACUGGGACCAGGUCCAGAUUCCUACGGGAGGCAGCAGUGGGGAAUAUUGCACAAUGGGCGCAAGCCUGAUGCAGCCAUGCCGCGUGUAUGAAGAAGGCCUUCGGGUUGUAAAGUACUUUCAGCGGGGAGGAAGGCGGUGAAGUUAAUAACUUCACCGAUUGACGUUACCCGCAGAAGAAGCACCGGCUAACUCCGUGCCAGCCGCCGCCGUAA
rnacentral:rRNA from 1 species